GUGGGGAAUAUUGGACAAUGGGCGCAAGCCUGAUCCAGCCAUGCCGCGUGAGUGAUGAAGGCCUUAUGGUUGUAAAGCUCUUUUGUCCGGGAAGAUAAUGACUGUACCGGAAGAAUAAGCCCCGGCUAACUUCGUGCCAGCAGCCGCGGUAAUACGAAGGGGGCUAGCGUUGUUCGGAAUCACUGGGCGUAAAGCGCACGUAGGCGGACCAUUAAGUCAGGGGUGAAAGCCUGGAGCUCAACUCCAGAACUGCCUUUGAUACUGAUGGUCUCGAGUAUGGAAGAGGUUGGUGGAACUGCGAGUGUAGAGGUGAAAUUCGUAGAUAUUCGCAAGAACACCGGUGGCGAAGGCGGCCAACUGGUCCAUUACUGACGCUGAGGUGCGAAAGCGUGGGGAGCAAACAGGAUUAGAAACCCCGGUAGUCC
rnacentral:rRNA from 1 species